rnacentral:rRNA from 1 species
GACGAACGCUGGCGGCGUGCUUAACACAUGCAAGCCGAGCGGUAAGGCCCUUUCGGGGGUACACGAGCGGCGAACGGGUGAGUAACACGUGAGCAAUCUUCCCCUGUCUCUGGGAUAACCACUUGAAACGGUGGCUAAUACCGGAUAUGACCUCCUUCUGCAUGGUUGUUGGUGGAAAAGUCCGCUGGACAGGGAUGAGCUCGCGGCCUAUCAGCUUGUUGGUGGGGUAAUGGCCUACCAAGGCGACGACGGGUAGCCGGCCUGAGAGGGUGACCGGCCACGCUGGGACUGAGACACGGCCCAGACUCCUACGGGAGGCAGCAGUGGGGAAUAUUGGACAAUGGGCGAAAGCCUGAUCCAGCAACGCCGUGUGAGGGAUGACGGCCUUCGGGUUGUAAACCUCUUUCCGCAGGGACGAAGCGAAAGUGACGGUACCUGCAGAAGAAGGACCGGCCAACUACGUG